rnacentral:rRNA from 1 species
UACAGAGGGUGCUAACGUUGUUCGGAAUUACUGGGCGUAAAGCGCACGUAGGUGGUUUUAUAAGUCGGAUGUGAAAGCCCCGGGCUUAACCUGGGAAUUGCAUCUGAUACUGUCUGACUAGAGUAUGCUAGAGGGAAGUGGAAUUCCAGGUGUAGCGGUGAAAUGCGUAGAUAUCUGGAGGAACACCAAUGGCGAAGGCAACUUCCUGGGGCGAUACUGACACUGAUGUGCGAAAGCGUGGGGAGCAAACAGG